UCCCUCUGUACUCAUUCAGAGCAGAUUAUAUCUACAGAAUACCUACAUAAAGACAAGUGGUUGUCUUGAGUGUUUCUUUAUUCUGCAGAAUUGCCACUACAAUUUGGCAUUGUCAGCGUUUUCACUCGUGUGAGAGGACUUGGGCGCUUGGAGCUGCAGGUUAAGACCGUGCACGGCUAGAGUCUGGGACUCUGUACCUCAUCCUCCCUGGCAAGGAAGGUGGAGAUGUGGGGGCGUGCUGCCCUGAGUGUCCGAGGCUCGCUCACCGCUGUGAUCCAGUAAACCUAGUGGCUGUGGCAGCACUCUCCUUCUGGUGAGUUUAUUCAACGGGGGCCAGGGGUAUACCGAUUCUCGCUAUCGUGAGGGGUGUGUGUGACAGAUGUGUCAGCAAGGGGGGGGAGUGUGUGAGUACAAAGUGUUUAAACAGUGAUACUGGUGAAAAUAUUGAUGUGUGUGAGUGUAUUAACGGAUGCAUGAAAGAGUGAAUGUGUGAAGGAAAAACAUAAAAUAAAAUAAAUAAAUAAAAACUGAGUAAGUAAAAGCUGGGAAUGCCAAACAGAUAAUCUGAGAAGGCAAUAAAACAGCCCGCUCUUAGAGACAUUGAAGGGUUAAUUUUAUUUUUUUUCCUCUCUUAAGUGAGUCUGUAAACUAUCUAGCUGUCCACUAGCAGCCAGCUUCAAAGUCCUUUUUUCUCCUCUUAAGAGUGGCAGAAGCGCUCCUAAGAAUACAGCCAAAAUAUUAAAGAGCACAACGAGACUAUUUAAAACAUCAAACAAAGUUAUUGUAGUUGGGGAAUCGGGGUUAAAGAAUAAAUAUGGGUUCUAACAAUAGCAAAACUUCUGAGAAUGAAAAAUCAAAUCUGCUAUCUCCCACGUUGAAAUCCCCUAAUUUAAACUACAUGAUUACCAAUUAUGGUAAGCACAGCAUUGACCAGCUGGACAUCUGGGUAAAAGAAUUUGGGUUUCCAACUGGCAGCUUCUCUCGCACUUGUUUCAAAUGUGGCAAAAUGGGACAUUGGGCAAAGGAUUGCCCCGAGAAUCACGGUCAGGCUGACUGACUAGACAGAGUGUCGACGCCAGGUCGGGAAGGGGCUGGCUUGAACACUGAACUAGAGCCGACAGAGCAUUCUUCACAUCAGUUAAGUAAGAGCACCCACACUGACACAACAGAGCAUGUGAACACACGACACACAGACAAAUGCUUGCAUGGGACACACACGGAUAUACACACUCCUGUGCCUCACAAGCAUGUGACACAGCCACACACACAGACAUUGAUAAGUGAGGCUAUCUCUUACCUUGAGCACACACAAGCCACUGAUGACAAAGCCCCAGCAGAGAUAUACAUCGAAUAUACACAUGAUGCAUACAAACGCAUGCCUGAACACACAAUCAAUGUUGCUAGAAAAGACAUUGUUUAUUUUUGUGGAUUCUGGUGCUAAUGAUUCUGUCAUCAGAGAGUCAGAGUUUGCAAUCCUUCUAAAAAUGAGUGGCAGAUUUGUGAGGACUGUAAGGGUUUCAGGAACACCCCUGGUGGAAAGGUACACCACACCAUUGUCAUGCAGUGAAGAAAUUGAGAAACACUUUUAACAUUCAUCUUUUAUAUCUAAACGAUGCCCGAUCAACAUUAUCGGAAAAGAUAAGGAUGAUAAGAUUAGGAAUUAUCCUGAUUUCCGCUCCCGAAGGCAUCGUUGUAGCCAGAAUUUCUGACACUGCAUCACAGUGUGUGAAACACAGUAGCAGGGAGCUAAUGUACGCUUAUCAAUGGAAGCUGCCUCACACAGCUCCUGGCUCUGUAAAUAACACUCUGAUCACCAAGGUCAAAGCUCUCUUUCCAGACAACUAUACACGAAUAGACAUCAAGGAACCACAAGAGUUACACUGCACAUCACAUGUACAUCUUGGGUUUGAUAAACGUGGGGACACAGGACACAUGGUUCAGGCAAGACAAAGAGAGAAACACAUUAAAGCUGACCUGGUUGUACUGGAAUGAUAAAAGACGCACUUUCUCAGUAGCUUUCAAUGAUCCAUGUAAAGCUAUGUUUCAAGUCGCUAACACAUAUCCUCAUGUCCCCCUGGUCAAAGCAAAGCAGGAUACAUGGGAAUGCUUGGGCACUUGGACCAGACGUUGUGAGGAAGCUGCUGGUUGGGUAAAGACAUCAGACUCAGAUGUGGAUUUUCACAACCAACUUCAGGUAUUCCGGAAAAGAUUUUCAGCUAUAGCAACCGGGGUAAGAAGCAUUGAGCUCAUUCCAGAUUCAGAGUUUUUAAUGGCCAGUUUGGUAACAUCAGAUGAUGGAAUAAGUCAUGACAAAAACAUUUAUGUGAAAGACGUCUCAGAAAUUCUCACAGAAAAUGAGUUAAAUCAGGUACCAUCCUGCCUGUGGGCACAACACAAGUAUGAUGUAGGAUUAAUCAAAGAUGCUGAGCCUGUAGUAAUCACACCAAAAUCUUCAUACAGGCCAUGUCAGAACCAAUAUCCUUUAUCCUUUAUGUAUUAAAACCAGUGUUUGGUUCUGUUUUGAAAGCAGGAGUGAUAAUUCCAUGUGCAAAAUCUCCAGUCCGGACACCUAUUUUCCCAGGCAAUUCAGCUUAUCCCAAAGCCAGAGACAAAGAAACAGUGGCAGACAGUGAACCUCACAAUUGUGUGAUAACAGAGGCUUGCUCCCCUAUACCAGAUCUGCAGGAAACAGCUGUUUGUUGACGGUUCAGCAUCACGAGAUCCAGCAACUGGGGAAUGUCAGAGCGGAUAAGGCAGCAAAAUCUGCUGCCAAACAAACAUCGACCACUCAAUCGGUUCCAUUAACUAAUGAACCUCUGACACCUACAACUGAUUUGCAGGAACUGCAAACAAGAGCAACGGCAGAGGAAAAAGCAGUGUGGCAAAAGGCAGGCUGCACUAUCACAGACAGUGUGGUAUGGACCAAAUGGCAAACCAUGCUUACUGAAGUAUCUGUUCCAUUAUUAUGCUGUGUUGACCCAUGGGCGGGACCAUGGUGCUGGAGCUGAACAGAUGCUGGUUCGCAAAGGGAUUUAAAACUUCUCUCAAAAAAUUUGUCAAAAAUGCAUUGUCUGUGCAACCAAUAAUGUGGGGAGAAGUAUUCAAAUCCCACAAGUGGCCCAUGUGCCUCCUGAGAGACCCUUUUAAAAUCCUAUUUGGCAGACCGUUAAACACUGGUAUUGGGCCAGUAAAAUGACAACUGCUGCUUGCUGUCAUCAUCGUCUUGUCAUCAGUCUCACUAAUGGAAACAUUCGAAUCACAAUUAACCCUAGAAGAAGGAGGGGUCAAAAGGGAGGUGGCAUCGAUUUUCCCCAACAUCCCAGCUCAGCUGGAAGACAGCGCAUGGUAUGCAACUAUACUGACUACUGCCAGAAAAGUGAAUAACCAGAGCUAUGUAACAUCGGCAUCACUGACUACGACGGCACCACAGCAAGGUUUUGGAACAUGAGCCAAAUAACCCAGCCAGGGAUUCACCAGCCCAUCAUGACUACCAAUCCAGUAUCCCAGACCAGCAUUGAUGGGUUCACUAGACGGUGCUAUACAUCUAGAGACCACUUCCUGGAGACCUCAGCCAUACAUCACUCAGCUGAAUCUGACUGACACCACAAGCUUACACCACAGAGGAAGUGACAGUCCCAUCGUACUGAUGCCUACAGAGGAUGGAUUUGGAUCCCUAACAGAGCACAUGUGGAGCACGGCGAUCCAUUACGAGAGUGUCACCAGGGGAGAAAGGAAUCAGUGGCAUCCUCCCCUGGUGGGGGACUGUGAAUACUGCACACAAGAUAGAUCACCUUAGAUCUUAGAUCUAAGGCCUUAGGCCAUAGAUCUUGAGAACUUGAUGGCCCUGGUAUACUGUAGGUAGGGUUUUCCACUCUCACUCCUACCAUGCAGGGGAUCAAAAACAUGGCCCUGUAGAACAGGAUGUCUUUGGACUUGAUGCUGGUUAGUCAAGGAGGCAGAGUAACAGCCGAAAAAUUGCUCAAAGAAUCCCUGAGCGGGUGAUCCACAUCUAAAAAGGCAGGACUGGGGGUACCGGAUCUUAAUAACUCCACCUUUCCAGCAAAGUGCAAAAGAAACUUUUCAUAAUCAGCAUCACAAUCAGCAGGGACACAGGUAGUUAAAAGAAUCAACCAAAUCGUUGCUGAU